UAAUUUGAUACCCCUAUAGUUGUUGCAACACUGGAUGUCCCCUUUGUUCUUGUACAAGGGCACCACUGUACUCCAUCUCUACUCAUCCGGCAUCCUUUUGGUCCUGAAGAUCGCAUUGAACAACCUGGAGAGCCACUCGCCUCCUGACUUACCCAUGCACUUCCAGAACUCCACCGGGAUCUCGUCAGGCCCGGUCGCUCG
rnacentral:lncRNA from 1 species